rnacentral:rRNA from 1 species
GACGAACGCUGGCGGCGUGCUUAACACAUGCAAGUCGAACGGAAAGGCCCUGCUUUUGUGGGGUGCUCGAGUGGCGAACGGGUGAGUAACACGUAAGUAACCUGCCCUUGACUUUGGGAUAACUUCAGGAAACUGGGGCUAAUACCGGAUAGGAGCUCCUGCUGCAUGGUGGGGGUUGGAAAGUUUCGGCGGUUGGGGAUAGACUCGCGGCUUAUCAGCUUGUUGGUGGGGUAGUGGCUUACCAAGGCUUUGACGGGUAGCCGGCCUGAGAGGGUGACCGGCCACAUUGGGACUGAGAUACGGCCCAGACUCCUACGGGAGGCAGCAGUGGGGAAUAUUGCACAAUGGGCGGAAGCCUGAUGCAGCAACGCCGCGUGCGGGAUGACGGCCUUCGGGUUGUAAACCGCUUUCGCCUGUGACGAAGCGUGAGUGACGGUAAUGGGUAAAGAAGCACCGGCUAACUACGUG